CGAGCGCGCGGGUCGCGUUGCAGAACCAAGGAAAGCCAGGGUGAACGGGGCGCCCGGGUUGUUGUCUGGAGCGUUCCCAGGAGCCCGCGCUGCUGACCCUUUGUUGGAGCAGGGUGCAUUGGCUCUCCUCCCUCAGCCCGUCUUGACACCCGCAGCUGACAAGGAGAGGUAAAAUAGGGCACCCAAACUACUCUGCGCUUUACCCUCUCAAACACUUGUUUUUAAAUCCUUUGCAUCUAGUCAGUCAUUCAACAUGUAUCAAGCACCAGCAGCUAUUCGUAGCACAGCUGUUAAGACCUGGAAUGAUAAAACCUUAAGACUAUUUGGCAACUUACUCCUGAAAGGAAUAUGUCUGUAAUGUCGAUGUCUACCUUAACAUCAGUAGGAAUUACAUUACAAGAAAAAAAAGUACGGAGACUGAACUCUUCAAACCGAUCCAACAGUAAAUCCUUUUAAAAAAAUUCAUCCUUGGAAAUAAUUCGUAACUAACAGGUGUGAUCUCCAACCUCUGGAAGACCCUAAAAUAAUUACAGAUGCACCCUGGGAUUUCCUAGAAUUUGU
rnacentral:lncRNA from 1 species